rnacentral:rRNA from 1 species
UUCGUAGCUGGACUGUUAAGUCCCUUGGGAAAUCCGUCGGCUCAACCGACGGGCGUCUAAGGGAUACUGGCAGUCUUGGGACCGGGAGAGGUAAGAGGUACUCCGGGGGUAGGAGUGAAAUCCUGUAAUCCCCGGGGGACCACUGGUGGCGAAGGCGUCUUACCAGAACGGCUCCGACAGUGAGGAACGAAAGCUGGGGGAGCGAACAGGAUUAGAUACCCUGGUAGUCC